rnacentral:rRNA from 1 species
CAAAGGCUUGGUCCUGACUUUACUAUCAACGCUAGCUAAACUUACACAUGCAAGUCUCCGCCUUCCUGUGAGAAUGCCCACAGUUUUCUACUUGAAAACAAGGAGCUGGUAUCAGGCACACUUCCCAGCAGCCCAUGACACCUUGCUUAGCCACACCCCCAAGGGAACUCAGCAGUGAUAAACAUUAAGCCAUAAGUGAAAACUUGACUUAGUUAAAGCCAAGAGGGCCGGUAAAACUCGUGCCAGCCACCGCGGUUAUACGAGAGGCCCAAGCUGAUAGCCAUCGGCGUAAAGAGUGGUUAAGAAACCUCCAAAAAUUAAAGCCAAACGCCCUCAGAACUGUUAUACGUACCCGAGGGUAAGAAGCCCCCCCACGAAAGUAGCUUUAUGACUCUGACCCCACGAAAGCUGUGAAACAAACUGGGAUUAGAUACCCCACUAUGCCCAGCCCUAAACUUUGAUAGAAUUUUACACCCACUAUCCGCCCGGGUACUACGAGCACUAGCUUAAAACCCAAAGGACUUGGCGGUGCUUUAGAUCCACCUAGAGGAGCCUGUUCUAGAACCGAUAACCCCCGUUAAACCUCACCCUCUCUUGUUCUUCCGCCUAUAUACCGCCGUCGUCAGCUUACCCUGUGAAGGACUUAUAGUAAGCAAAACUAGUACAACUCAAAACGCCAGGUCGAGGUGUAGCAUAUGAGAGGGGAAGAAAUGGGCUACAUUCUCUAUUUUAGAGAACACGAACAAUAUGAUGAAACGUAUAU